rnacentral:rRNA from 1 species
UACGGAGGGUGCGAACGUUAAUCGGAAUUACUGGGCGUAAGGCGCGCGUAGGCGGUUCGGUAAGUGGGAUGUGAAAGCCCUGGGCUCAACCUGGGAACUGCAUUCCAAACUGCCGAGCUAGAGUGUGGUAGAGGGAGGUAGAAUUUCCUGUGUAGCGGUGAAAUGCGUAGAUAUAGGAGGGAAUACCAGUGGCGAAGGCGGCCUCCUGGAUCAACACUGACGCUGAGGUGCGAAAGCGUGGGGAGCAAACAGG